CAGUAAUAGGUGAAGGAAAGUCAGA
rnacentral:piRNA from 1 species